AUUGAACGCUGGCGGCAUGCCUUACACAUGCAAGUCGAACGGCAGCACGGGAGCAAUCCUGGUGGCGAGUGGCGAACGGGUGAGUAAUAUAUCGGAACGUGCCCAGUCGUGGGGGAUAACUACGCGAAAGCGUAGCUAAUACCGCAUACGAUCUAUGGAUGAAAGCGGGGGAUCGCAAGACCUCGCGCGAUUGGAGCGGCCGAAAUCAGAUUAGGUAGUUGGUGGGGUAAAGGCCUACCAAGCCUGCGAUCUGUAGCUGGUCUGAGAGGACGACCAGCCACACUGGAACUGAGACACGGUCCAGACUCCUACGGGAGGCAGCAGUGGGGAAUUUUGGACAAUGGGCGCAAGCCUGACCCAGCAAUGCCGCGUGCAGGAUGAAGGCCUUCGGGUUGUAAACUGCUUUUGUACGGAACGAAAAGGCUCUGGUUAUUACCUGGGGCUCAUGACGGUACCGUAAGAAUAAGCACCGGCUAACUACGUGCCAGCAGCCGCCGUAAUAC
rnacentral:rRNA from 1 species